rnacentral:rRNA from 1 species
GACGAACGCUGGCGGCGUGCUUAACACAUGCAAGUCGAACGCUGAAGCUCAGCUUGCUGGGUGGAUGAGUGGCGAACGGGUGAGUAACACGUGAGUAACCUGCCCUCUUCUUUGGGAUAACGCCCGGAAACGGGUGCUAAUACUGGAUAUUCACUGAUUCUCGCAUGGGGGUUGGUGGAAAGGUUUUUUCUGGUGGGGGAUGGGCUCGCGGCCUAUCAGCUUGUUGGUGGGGUGAUGGCCUACCAAGGCUUUGACGGGUAGCCGGCCUGAGAGGGUGACCGGUCACAUUGGGACUGAGAUACGGCCCAGACUCCUACGGGAGGCAGCAGUGGGGAAUAGUGCACAAUGGGCGAAAGCCGGAUGCAGCGACGCCGCGUGAGGGAUGGAGGCCUUCGGGUUGUAAACCUCUUUCGCUCAUGGUCAAGCCGCAGCUUUGGGUUGUGGUGAGGGUAGUGGGUAAAGAAGCGCCGGCUAACUACGUG